rnacentral:rRNA from 1 species
GAUGAACGCUGGCGGCGUGCCUAAUACAUGCAAGUCGAGCGAACGGACGAGAAGCUUGCUUCUCUGAUGUUAGCGGCGGACGGGUGAGUAACACGUGGAUAACCUACCUAUAAGACUGGGAUAACUUCGGGAAACCGUAGCUAAUACCGGAUAAUAUUUUGAACCGCAUGGUUCAAAAGUGAAAGACGGUCUUGCUGUCACUUAUAGAUGGAUCCGCGCUGCAUUAGCUAGUUGGUAAGGUAACGGCUUACCAAGGCAACGAUGCAUAGCCGACCUGAGAGGGUGAUCGGCCACACUGGAACUGAGACACGGUCCAGACUCCUACGGGAAGCAGCAGUAGGGAAUCUUCCGCAAUGGGCGAAAGCCUGACGGAGCAACGCCGCGUGAGUGAUGAAGGUCUUCGGAUCGUAAAACUCUGUUAUUAGGGAAGAACAUAUGUGUAUGUAACUGUGCACAUCUUGACGGUACCUAAUCAGAAAGCCACGGCUAACUACGUG